GCCGAGGUAGUCUAGUCCGGGAAGGCGGUGGUCUUGAAAACCACUGGUGUUUCACCUCAAGAGUUCAAAUCUCUUCCUCGGCG
rnacentral:tRNA from 2 species